GACGAACGCUGGCGGCGUGCUUAACACAUGCAAGUCGAACGGAAAGACCCUGCUUUUGUGGGGUGCUCGAGUGGCGAACGGGUGAGUAACACGUGAGGAACCUGCCCUUGACUUUGGGAUAACUUCAGGAAACUGGGGCUAAUACCGGAUAGGAGCUCCUGCUGCAUGGUGGGGGUUGGAAAGUUUCGGCGGUUGGGGAUGGACUCGCGGCUUAUCAGCUUGUUGGUGGGGUAGUGGCUUACCAAGGCUUUGACGGGUAGCCGGCCUGAGAGGGUGACCGGCCACAUUGGGACUGAGAUACGGCCCAGACUCCUACGGGAGGCAGCAGUGGGGAAUAUUGCACAAUGGGCGGAAGCCUGAUGCAGCAACGCCGCGUGCGGGAUGACGGCCUUCGGGUUGUAAACCGCUUUCGCCUGUGACGAAGCGUGAGUGACGGUAAUGGGUAAAGAAGCACCGGCUAACUACGUG
rnacentral:rRNA from 1 species